rnacentral:lncRNA from 1 species
AUCAGAUGGAUAAAAUGUUCAAACUAACAAUUGAAAUUAAAUAUUUGUUUAAUUGUAUAUCUAAAUCCUAUUUUGGUACUCUCGCCCAGGGAGACACUUGCUACCACGUACAAGUAAUGUAAUAUUGUUUUACAUUUACAUGUUUGCAGUUCAUGCAUGCAUGUUCCUUUGCAUUUGCAUUUUUCUGUACAGUUGCUAAAUAUUCUAAAACAAUUGUCCGCCCACAUUAUGUGUACUUCCGAUAUCAUCAAUUUCAGUGAGAAUAAUUGUCAUAAUUCAAUUAAUGUAUUACUGAUCGAAAUACUAAAUACAAGAGAUUAACAGAUUUAAUUAGCGUGGAUUUUUUAAAUAGAUAAAAUAUAAAGUUUUUAUUUCAAUUACAAUUGAACUUUUUUAUAUCAAUAAGUUAUGUUGAUCUGUUUUAUGUAUUUAUAUCUAGUAAACUUGACCAACUUCUUAAUAUUAGUCAGACCGUACGCGUAUGGUCCGACCGUAUGAGUAUUUUGAAAAAGUACGCAUACGGUCCAGACCGUACGCGUACGGUCCAAAU